CAGUAAGAUCCCAGGAGUUUAAAGCAGAACCCAUGGCCUUCAAGAGAACAGGGAAAUGUAUCCCACAGACGAAAAUAUUUCCCUUUGGUGCCUUCAGUGCAUUUACUGUUUCUUUUAUCUCAGUGCUUU